AUUGAACGCUGGCGGCAUGCUUUACACAUGCAAGUCGAACGGCAGCACGGGGGCAACCCUGGUGGCGAGUGGCGAACGGGUGAGUAAUAUAUCGGAACGUACCCGGCAAUGGGGGAUAACGUAGCGAAAGUUACGCUAAUACCGCAUAUGCCCUGAGGGGGAAAGUGGGGGAUCGCAAGACCUCACGUUGUCGGAGCGGCCGAUAUCAGAUUAGCUAGUUGGUGGGGUAAAGGCCUACCAAGGCGACGAUCUGUAGCUGGUCUGAGAGGACGACCAGCCACACUGGGACUGAGACACGGCCCAGACUCCUACGGGAGGCAGCAGUGGGGAAUUUUGGACAAUGGGGGCAACCCUGAUCCAGCCAUGCCGCGUGAGUGAAGAAGGCCUUCGGGUUGUAAAGCUCUUUCGGACGGAAAGAAAUCGCCAUUUCUAAUACAAGUGGUGGAUGACGGUACCGUCAUAAGAAGCACCGGCUAACUACGUGCCAGCAGCCGCGGUAACAC
rnacentral:rRNA from 1 species